rnacentral:rRNA from 1 species
UGGGGAAUUUUGGGCAAUGGGCGAAAGCCUGACCCAGCAACGCCGCGUGAAGGACGAAAUCCCUCCGGGAUGUAAACUUCGAAAGUCAGGAAAGAAAUCCAGUGGGAUAAUACCCCGCUGGGAUGACGGUACCUGACGUAAGCCCCGGCUAACUACGUGCCAGCAGCCGCGGUAAUACGUAGGGGGCAAGCGUUGUUCGGAAUUACUGGGCGUAAAGGGCGCGUAGGCGGCAUGGCAAGUCAGGAGUGAAAGGCCUGGGCUCAACCGAGGAACUGCUUUUGAGACUGCCAAGCUAGAGUGCGGAAGGGGCAACUGGAAUUCCCAGUGUAGCGGUGAAAUGCGUAGAUAUUGGGAAGAACACCGGAGGCGAAGGCGGGUUGCUGGGCCGACACUGACGCUGAGGCGCGAAAGCCAGGGGAGCAAACGG